AGCAGGGGCAUGGUGGCUUUAAAGUAAGAAGUUGAUGGGCUGAAUGCAUAUUUUACACUUCCUAUCAAUAUGCCACCUGGUGCGAAGAAUUGAAUUUCAGAUGAAUGAAUGGAAGUAUUUUGUUCAUUACCUUGGUUGGAGCAAAAAGUGAGUACAUGUUCCAGCUCAAAUUUUCUGAAUUCCGAUAUAAAUUCACAGUGAGAAUGCCAAGUGGGUUA